UUUAAUUGAAGAGUUUGAUCAUGGCUCAGAUUGAACGCUGGCGGCAGGCCUAACACAUGCAAGUCGAGCGGCAGCGACACUA
rnacentral:rRNA from 1 species